GUGCUCGCUUCGGCAGCACAUAUAGUAAAAUUGGAAGGAUACAGAGAAGAUUAGCAUGGCCCCUGUGCAAGGAUGACACAUAAAUUCGUGAAGCGUUCCCUAUUUUU
rnacentral:snRNA from 1 species